rnacentral:rRNA from 1 species
AUUGAACGCUAGCGGGAUGCUUUACACAUGCAAGUCGAACGAGUGGCGGACGGGUGCGUAAUAUAUCAGAACGUGGCCAGUAGCGGGGGAUAACUACUCGAAAGAGUGGCUAAUACCGCUUACGGUUGGAUCGGGCGAUAUCGGAUUAGCUACUUGGUGGGGUAAAGGCUCACCAAGGCAAAGAUCCGUAGCUGGUUUGAGAGGCCGACCAGCCACACUGGGACUGAGACACGGCCCAGACUCCUACGGUAGGCAGCAGUGGGGAAUUUUGGACAAUGGGGGAAAGCCUGAUCCAGCCAUCCCGCGUGUAUGAGAAGGCCUUCGGGUUGUAAAGUACUGUUGUCAGAGAAGCGGUAUCUGCCUAAUAAGCACCGGCUAACUACGUGCCAGCAGCCGCGGUAAUUC